rnacentral:rRNA from 1 species
UGGGAGCCUACCAUGCAAGUCGAGCGGAAACGAGUUAUCUGAACCUUCGGGGAACGAUAACGGCGUCGAGCGGCGGACGGGUGAGUAAUGCCUAGGAAAUUGCCCUGAUGUGGGGGAUAACCAUUGGAAACGAUGGCUAAUACCGCAUGAUGCCUACGGGCCAAAGAGGGGGACCUUCGGGCCUCUCGCGUCAGGAUAUGCCUAGGUGGGAUUAGCUAGUUGGUGAGGUAAGGGCUCACCAAGGCGACGAUCCCUAGCUGGUCUGAGAGGAUGAUCAGCCACACUGGAACUGAGACACGGUCCAGACUCCUACGGGAGGCAGCAGUGGGGAAUAUUGCACAAUGGGCGCAAGCCUGAUGCAGCCAUGCCGCGUGUGUGAAGAAGGCCUUCGGGUUGUAAAGCACUUUCAGUCGUGAGGAAGGUAGUGUAGUUAAUAGCUGCAUUAUUUGACGUUAGCGACAGAAGAAGCACCGGCUAACUCCGUGCCAGCAGCCGCGGUAAUACGGAGGGUGCGAGCGUUAAUCGGAAUUACUGGGCGUAAAGCGCAUGCAGGUGGUUUGUUAAGUCAGAUGUGAAAGCCCGGGGCUCAACCUCGGAAUAGCAUUUGAAACUGGCAGACUAGAGUACUGUAGAGGGGGGUAGAAUUUCAGGUGUAGCGGUGAAAUGCGUAGAGAUCUGAAGGAAUACCGGUGGCGAAGGCGGCCCCCUGGACAGAUACUGACACUCAGAUGCGAAAGCGUGGGGAGCAAACAGGAUUAGAUCCCU